rnacentral:lncRNA from 1 species
GCCUGAUGAACCAAACUACUCAGUAAUCUCCUCCAUGAAGACUGGGGGUCAGCCUGAUGAACCAAACUACUCAGUAAUCUCCUCCAUGAAGACUGGGGGUCAGCCUGAUGAACCACACUACUCAGUAAUCUCCUCCAUGAAGACUGGGGAUCAGCCUGAUGAACCAAACUACUCAGUAAUCUCCUCCAUGAAGACUGGGGGUCAGCCUGAUGAACCAAACUACUCAGUAAUCUCCUCCAUGAAGACUGGGGGUCAGCCUGAUGAACCAAACUACUCAGUAAUCUCCUCCAUGAAGACUGGGGGUCAGCCUGAUGAACCAAACUACUCAGUAAUCUCCUCCAUGAAGACUGGGGGUCAGCCUGAUGAACCAAACUACUCAGUAAUCUCCUCCAUGAAGACUGGAGGUCAGCCUGAUGAACCAAACUACUCAGUAA